rnacentral:rRNA from 1 species
AGUAAUGCAUAGGAAUCUGCCCGGUAGUGGGGGAUAACCUGGGGAAACCCAGGCUAAUACCGCAUACGUCCUACGGGAGAAAGCAGGGGAUCUUCGGACCUUGCGCUAUCGGAUGAGCCUAUGUCGGAUUAGCUUGUUGGUGAGGUAAUGGCUCACCAAGGCGACGAUCCGUAGCUGGUCUGAGAGGAUGAUCAGCCACAUCGGGACUGAGACACGGCCCGAACUCCUACGGGAGGCAGCAGUGGGGAAUAUUGGACAAUGGGCGAAAGCCUGAUCCAGCCAUGCCGCGUGUGUGAAGAAGGCUUUCGGGUUGUAAAGCACUUUCAGUGAGGAAGAAGGCCUUGGGGCUAAUACCCCCGAGGA